AAUCAACGCUGGCGGCGUGCCUCAGACAUGCAAGUCGAACGAUUAAACUUUCCUUCGGGGAAGAUAUAGAGUGGCGCACGGGUGAGUAACACGUAAGUAAUCUACCCUUGGGUGGGGAAUAACAUCGGGAAACCGAUGCUAAUACCGCAUAAUGCAGCGGCUUCUUAUGAAGACAGUUGUUAAAGCAUUUAUGUGCCAGAGGAGGAGCUUGCGGCAGAUUAGCUAGUUGGUAAGGUAAUGGCUUACCAAGGCGACGAUCUGUAGCCGACCUGAGAGGGUGGUCGGUCACACUGACACUGAAUAACGGGUCAGACUCCUACGGGAGGCAGCAGUCGGGAAUUUUGGGCAAUGGGCGCAAGCCUGACCCAGCAACGCCGCGUGAAGGAUGAAGUAUUUCGGUAUGUAAACUUCGUAAAAUAGGAAGAAUAAAUGACGGUACUAUUUGUAAGGUCCGGCUCACUACGUGCCAGCAGCCGCGGU
rnacentral:rRNA from 1 species